UCCACCCCGGGUCGGCGGCCGAGACGCCGAGUGCGGCACUUCCGCCGCAAGUCUGUUCGCAUCCCGGCGCGUUCGCCUCCAAUCCCCCCGGCGAGUUAGCAGCUGCGCUGCUCGCCGGCGCUGCCGAACGCCUCUGCGCCGCUGCUCGCAAGGACGCUCCCAAACUCCCCAGCGAGUUGGCAGCUGCGCUCCUCGCCGCUGCCGCAGUGCGCCCACAAACUCGCGCAGCGGCUUCGCAACUGCGCUCCCCCGUCCUCCUCGCCGCCGUGCUACCUCUCCUCACCACAGGCAAUCCAGAUUUCCUCCCAUAAUUCCUUGAUGUCGCCGCCGGCGUGUCACCGCUGCUCACCAGGGGCACCCGCCGUGUCUUGCGCUGCGGCAUCGCGGCCUGCACCGCUGGAAUGGCUGCAAUUGGAACGAGACCCGUCUGAGGUACCCGAGUUAAAAUGCUUGUGCGGCAUUCCGGCUUGCUGCCGAACAGCACGCAACGAACGGAACCACAUGAGAAGAUUUCUUCAUUGCGAUGUGGCUCUACUGGAUCAAGCCAUCAGUGACCCACGAGCCCUUCCAGCCCCGCCCCGCCUACAUCUGCCUCGUCGGGGAGUUCAACCGCUGCACCGCCGCUGCCACACCCACGCAGCUGCGCUGGAGGCCGCUCGAGGUUCCCCUGGACUCGCCCCUCGACGUCAUCGACGGCCUCUACACCGUCAAUGGCGCCGGGAGCUCCUUCCUCCGACAUGGAAAAGGAAGAUGUUUCUAGAUUUGGCUCCACUGAUGUGGCACUAUUUUGACACAAUGAUUGUGCUGCUGUAGACUGCUAGUGCAAAAGGAGGCCAGGGCAUGACAUCUUUUUGACUACAUAAUGGAUGGAUGGUAUUAGGCUGUUUGAAUACCUACAGCCUGACAAAAUGGAUGGAUGGUUUUAGGCUGAUUGUAUCAAUUUGUGCAAUGCAGGUGAUUGUUGAGAAGGCUGAGAGAAGUGAUAUUCCUGACAUCGACAAGAAAAAGUCAGUUCUCAACUUCUCUACUAGAUAUCUGAAAAUUAUUUCUACUUAGGCUGAGAGAAGGCUGAGAGGUGAUUGUAUGAACUCUUUUGUUUAAUAUGGACUCUUUUGUUUAAUCUUGAUGCAUGAGCUCAUAUGGUUGAAUUCUGCUGCUAUAAUUAUAUAUUAUAUAU